rnacentral:rRNA from 1 species
GAUGAACGCUGGCGGCGUGCCUAAUACAUGCAAGUCGAGCGAACAGACGAGGAGCUUGCUCCUCUGACGUUAGCGGCGGACGGGUGAGUAACACGUGGAUAACCUACCUAUAAGACUGGGAUAACUUCGGGAAACCGGAGCUAAUACCGGAUAAUAUAUUGAACCGCAUGGUUCAAUAGUGAAAGACGGUUUUGCUGUCACUUAUAGAUGGAUCCGCGCCGCAUUUGCUAGUUGGUAAGGUAAAGGCUUACCAAGGCAACGAUGCGUAGCCGACCUGAGAGGGUGAUCGGCCACACUGGAACUGAGACACGGUCCAGACUCCUACGGGAGGCAGCAGUAGGGAAUCUUCCGCAAUGGGCGAAAGCCUGACGGAGCAACGCCGCGUGAGUGAUGAAGGUCUUCGGAUCGUAAAACUCUGUUAUUAGGGAAGAACAAAUGUGUAAGUAACUAUGCACGUCUUGACGGUACCUAAUCAGAAAGCCACGGCUAACUACGUG